UGGGGACCCUGUGCUCAGUCCAAUGGUUAGCUGCGAGCAUCUGCCUCUGCAUAUGUCAGGCUCUGGCAGAGAAAAACUCUUCUAAUAUUGUGAACUGCUUUGGUGGCAACACAAAGCCAAAAUGUAAGAACUGAGUCUACCAAGGGAUGAUGUCACAGGAUGGUUACUGAUAAAACAAGAAGACACCACAUCCAUCACUGCUCCAGUGGAGCCAUGGGUGCACAGCUCAUCUGCUGUGUAGUACUUUGCCUCCUGGGGGCAGGCUCUUUGGAUGCUGCAGUUACUCAGACGCCAAGACAUUUAAUCAAAAUGAAAGGGCAGAAAGUAGAGAUGAAAUGUAACCCUGAAAAGGGGCACAAUGCUGUUUUCUGGUAUCAGCAAAAGGAGAGCAAAGAAUUAAAGUUCCUGAUUUACUUUCAGAAUCAAAAGCCUCUCGAUGAAAUAGACAUGGUCAAGGAGAGAUUCUCAGCUGAGUGCCCCUCAAGCUCACUCUGCAGCCUAGGAAUCAAAACUUCUGAAGCUGAAGACUCAGCACUCUACCUGUGCUCCAGCAGUCAAUCCACAGCGCUGAAAUGUGCAUUCCCCCUUGCACACAAACUCACCGAGGAGCCACUCAGGGAGCAGGUGAUGAGAGAAGGUGAUCAUGGGUGCAAGACUGCUCUGCUGUGUGACACUUUGUCUGCUUGGGGCAGGCUCUUUUGUUGCUGAGGUAACUCAGACUCCAAGGUACCUGGUCAAAGAGAAAGGACAGAAAACGCACAUGAGCUGUAGUCCUGAAAAAGGGCACACUGCCUUUUACUGGUAUCAACAGAACAAGGACAAAGAACUUGCAUUUUUGAUUAACUUUCGAAAUGAAGAAAUUAUUGAACAAACAGACUUGGUCAAGAAGAGAUUCUCAGCUAAAUGUCCCCAGAACUCAGGCUGCAUCCUGGAAAUCCUAUCCUCUGAAGAAGGAGACUCAGCACUGUACCUCUGUGCCAGC